rnacentral:tmRNA from 1 species
GGGGGCGACAGGCUUCGACUGCAAUGGAUGGAGCCUGAUCUGCAUGCCGAGGAGCUCAACCUCGUAAAAAAGAGCAAAACCUUAUAAGUGCCGAUUACGAAGCACUUCCAGUAGCAGCAUAAUUUAGCUGCUACCGUCCCUCCUGUCUUUCCCCUGGAGAUGGGAAGGGGCGUCAAAACACAGGGGUCGCUGGUGAACCUUCUCCCGAGAGGUUCUCCAGUUAAAUUCAAUUCGGGAUAAGCCUGCAAUGUGUGCCCGGACACUAAAGCAGGCUGAAUGACUAACCUCCGGGCUAAGCAUGUAGAGGAUCGGGUAGCCUCAUUGCAGGACGCGGGUUCGAAUCCCGCCGCCUCCAGAU